UACGGAGGGUGCAAGCGUUAUCCGGAUUCACUGGGUUUAAAGGGUGCGUAGGUGGGCUAGUAAGUCCGUGGUGAAAUCUCCAAGCUUAACUUGGAAACUGCCGUGGAUACUAUUAGUCUUGAAUAUUGUGGAGGUAAGCGGAAUAUGUCAUGUAGCGGUGAAAUGCUUAGAUAUGACAUAGAACACCGAUAGCGAAGGCAGCUCGCUGGGGGUCUUCUGACGCUGAGACACGAAAGCCAGGGGAGCGAACGGG
rnacentral:rRNA from 1 species